rnacentral:lncRNA from 1 species
CCCAAUUCUUGAUGUGGGCUGAAUAGAACAAAUCAAACACUAAAAUCGUUAUUCGAUCGUUGAUUUUCGCAGCCGCCAAACGUUAUUCACCAACCAACAAGAACAAAUCAAACAAUAAAACCUAACAAGAACAACUUACACGGUUUCAGACGGCCAAAUCCAACGCUUCGCCGCCGGAUAACUGAAUAGUCGUCAACCAAUUCCAAGCGCCGCUGUUGUAGUUGGAGAGGAAUCGCCUGUCAAAGUGAGUAAAGCUGCGUAUAUUCAGAUGAACCAAACCCACAAUAUUGCAGGCCAAAUCAUAUAAAUUAAACCCUAAAAACUUACAUUGUGAUAUCGCCUGCCAAAUCCAAGCCAGCCAUUGCAAUUGGAGAUGAAUCGCCGUCUGGUGUAGGGUUUUCAGAAAUGGUGGGUUGGUGUGCGAAGAAGUGGGUAGAGGGAGAGUAAAUUCCUAAAUUACUGACG